AUUUAUGGGAUACACCAAGUUCAGUUGUGUAAAAAUUUUAAUUAAAAAAAUAAAUUCCAUACAUGGCAUCACUGGGCUUUGUUUAUCUCAUAAU
rnacentral:pre_miRNA from 1 species